CCUACGGGUGGCUGCAGUGAGGAAUAUUGGUCAAUGGACGCAAGUCUGAACCAGCCAUGCCGCGUGCAGGAAGACGGCUCUAUGAGUUGUAAACUGCUUUUGUACUAGGGUAAACGCAGAUACGCGUAUCUGUCUGAAAGUAUCGUACGAAUCAGGCUCGGCUAACUCCGUGCCAGCAGCAGCGGGAAUACGGAGGCUUCAAGCGUUAUCCGGAUUUAUUUGGUUUAAAGGGUGCGUAGGCGGUAGGAUAAGUUAGAGGUGAAAUCCCGAGGCUCAACUUCGGAAUUGCCUCUGAUACUGGUAGGCUAGAGAGUAGUUGCGGUAGGCGGAAUGUAUGGUGUAGCGGUGAAAUGCUUAGAGAUCAUACAGAACACCGAUUGCGAAGGCAGCUAACCAAGCUACUUCUGACGUUGAGGCACGAAAGCGUGGGGAGCAAACAGGAUUAGAUACCCUGGUAGUC
rnacentral:rRNA from 1 species